rnacentral:rRNA from 1 species
AGAGCGAACGCUGGCGGCAUGCCUAACACAUGCAAGUCGCGCGGGCAGCAAUGUCAGCGGCGGACGGGUGCGUAACGCGUAGGAACAUAUCCGAAGGUGGGGGACAACCCUGGGAAACUGGGGCUAAUACCGCAUAUGAACUGAGGUUCAAAGCAGCGAUGCGCCUUUGGAGUGGCCUGCGUCCGAUUAGCUUGUUGGUGGGGUAAAGGCCUACCAAGGCGACGAUCGGUAGCUGGUCUGAGAGGACGAUCAGCCACACUGGGACUGAGACACGGCCCAGACUCCUACGGGAGGCAGCAGUGGGGAAUAUUGGACAAUGGGCGCAAGCCUGAUCCAGCAAUGCCGCGUGUGUGAAGAAGGUCUUCGGAUUGUAAAGCACUUUCGACAGGGACGAUGAUGACGGUACCUGUAGAAGAAGCCCCGGCUAACUUCGUGCCAGCAGCCGC